GACGAACGCUGGCGGCGUGCUUAACACAUGCAAGUCGAACGAUGAAGCCUAGCUUGCUAGGUGGAUUAGUGGCGAACGGGUGAGUAAUACGUGAGUAACCUACCUUUAACUCUGGGAUAAGCCUGGGAAACUGGGUCUAAUACCGGAUACGACCAAUCUCCGCAUGGGGUGUUGGUGGAAAGCGUUAUGUAGUGGUUAUAGAUGGGCUCACGGCCUAUCAGCUUGUUGGUGAGGUAACGGCUCACCAAGGCGACGACGGGUAGCCGGCCUGAGAGGGUGACCGGCCACACUGGGACUGAGACACGGCCCAGACUCCUACGGGAGGCAGCAGUGGGGAAUAUUGCACAAUGGGCGCAAGCCUGAUGCAGCGACGCCGCGUGAGGGAUGACGGCCUUCGGGUUGUAAACCUCUGUUAGCAGGGAAGAAGAGAAAUUGACGGUACCUGCAGAGAAAGCGCCGGCUAACUACGUGCCAGCAGCCGCGGUAAUACGUAGGGCGCGAGCGUUGUCCGGAAUUAUUGGGCGUAAAGAGCUUGUAGGCGGUUUGUCGCGUCUGCUGUGAAGGCCGGGGCUUAACCCCGUGUAUUGCAGUGGGUACGGGCAGACUAGAGUGCAGUAGGGGAGACUGGAAUUCCUGGUGUAGCGGUGGAAUGCGCAGAUAUCAGGAGGAACACCGAUGGCGAAGGCAGGUCUCUGGGCUGUAACUGACGCUGAGAAGCGAAAGCAUGGGGAGCGAACAGGAUUAGAUACCCUGGUAGUCCAUGCCGUAAACGUUGGGCACUAGGUGUGGGGAACAUUCCACGUUUUCCGCGCCGUAGCUAACGCAUUAAGUGCCCCGCCUGGGGAGUACGGCCGCAAGGCUAAAACUCAAAGAAAUUGACGGGGGCCCGCACAAGCGGCGGAGCAUGCGGAUUAAUUCGAUGCAACGCGAAGAACCUUACCAAGGCUUGACAUAUACUGGACCGCAUCAGAGAUGGUGUUUCCCUUCGGGGCUGGUGUACAGGUGGUGCAUGGUUGUCGUCAGCUCGUGUCGUGAGAUGUUGGGUUAAGUCCCGCAACGAGCGCAACCCUCGUUCUAUGUUGCCAGCACGUAAUGGUGGGGACUCAUAGGAGACUGCCGGGGUCAACUCGGAGGAAGGUGGGGAUGACGUCAAAUCAUCAUGCCCCUUAUGUCUUGGGCUUCACGCAUGCUACAAUGGCCGGUACAGAGGGUUGCGAUACUGUGAGGUGGAGCUAAUCCCUAAAAGCCGGUCUCAGUUCGGAUUGGGGUCUGCAACUCGACCCCAUGAAGUCGGAGUCGCUAGUAAUCGCAGAUCAGCAACGCUGCGGUGAAUACGUUCCCGGGCCU
rnacentral:rRNA from 1 species